rnacentral:lncRNA from 1 species
AUGGGUUAGCACAACUGCUUUCAGAGAGUCUUUGCAGGGGCAAGGUCUGCCUGUCUGCUCCUGAGCAACAGGGACAUUCUGGAGUUGGAUAUAAUAGAAAAAAAAAUGUACGUUGGAAAAAAAAAAAUCUCUUUGUAUGUACCCACAUACCUAUAUCUGUUCUAGGGUGUUUACCUUAUGGGAGUGUGUGGCCCAGUUCCCCAGCUGAUAUUCACAUUAGGACCAAAAAGGUGCUUCUGGGCACCAUGGAGUCUGAUGUGAAGGAGGAUUUUUCGGCAGUAACAGUACGUGUGGUCCCCCUCCUGGAGCACUGCUGGGUGUAAGCUGAGCCCCAGAGCUGUCUGUAGGAAGCUGUGGUGGAGAGCAGUGCAAGGAUCCCACGGGCAUCUACUUUCCUGCUGCACCUUCUGCUCACACCCCCAAGAACUUCUGCCUUUCAGACCCCGCAGGAACCACAUUUAGGAGACCCCCAGGAUUCACCACACUGAAGCUGACGGGUCUGACAGACCACUAGGAUCACAGAAUGCCCCAAGUUGGAAAGGAUCUGUAAGGAUCAUCGAAUCCAACUCCUGCCUCCACCAGGAGCUGCACAACCAGAUAGCGUGUUGCUAGCUUGUCUUCGUUUAACCCAAGGAUGAAUUUGAGCCUUUUUGACUUGCAGUCUAAUAGAGAUGCUUUCUAUUUCUGCUAACAGAAUUUGCAGACAGGAUGUGGAAGUAUCCUGCCCUUCAGGAAUGAUGGGAUCCAUCUCUGUGGUAACGCUGAAUUGUUAGGUGGUGCUGUUGAAAAUGGCUUUUCUUCUGCUGAAAUACCAGUCUGCUGCUUCAGUGCAGCCUGUGUCUUCAUUCUCUUUUCCGGAAGAAGAAGAAUGGAUGACCCAACAAUUAGGACCUAGGCAUCUGGCAGAGAAAACUUUGGCUUGCCAUCUGGUCUCAACCCAGCACUGUGAACUUGCUGCGCUGUGGUGGCCUGGUGAUGCUUUUGCACUGGGCCCUUGUUGUCAUCUGGUAAAUGAAAAGCAGGAGAUCAUGGGCACAGGGUGCACUGUGUGA